UGUAUCUGAAGCCUGACGAGGAUGAGAACCUCCGGGGGCAAGAGGUUCGACUCGAGCGAAGCGAGAGAACGUUGCGCCAGCAACGGCCCGCAGGGCGAGUCAUCCUCUAUCACCGGCAG
rnacentral:sRNA from 1 species